AGGAGUAGGUGGCUGACUGACGGCUAAACUAGAUUUAGCUGAGGAAACUCCUCUCUCACACUCGAGCAGGGAAGGAGCGAAAGGUUCCCAGGGCGAGAGUCCUGAUGGAGGAGCAGAAACGACACAGCUUGAGGAGCAUGAUGAUGUGCUUGGCAUUGAAUUUUCCUUAGGAUUUGGUGAAACGGCCAUCCACCCUGAGCAAGUCCAAACAAUAGGAUCGGUUGCUCGAGUCCGCCUAUGAGUGGGACGCUAAGACGAAUGUCAGCAGAACAAAAAGAGGGUUACUACCUACACCU
rnacentral:RNase_P_RNA from 1 species